GACACGAUGGCCGAGUGGUCUAAGGCGGUAGAUUUAAGCAACUCCUGCUGCUUCUCUGCAUCCUUGCAAAAGCGCUUUCGUUAGCUCAGAUCUCUACUACGGAAACGUGCGUGGGUUCGAACCCCACUCGUGUCA